UACGGGGGGAGCAAGCGUUGUUCGGAUUUACUGGGCGUAAAGGGCGCGUAGGCGGCCAGCACAAGUCAGUUGUGAAAUCUCCGAGCUUAACUCGGAAAGGUCAACUGAUACUGUGCGGCUAGAGUGCAGAAGGGGCAACUGGAAUUCUUGGUGUAGCGGUGAAAUGCGUAGAUAUCAGGAGGAACACCGAUGGCGAAGGCAGGAUCUCUGGGCGAUUAACUG
rnacentral:rRNA from 1 species